AAUCGCUAGUAAUCGCGGAUCAGCAUGCCGCGGUGAAUACGUUCCCGGGCCUUGUACACACCGCCCGUCACACCAUGAGAGUCGGGAACACCCGAAGUCCGUAGCCUAACCGCAAGGGGGGCGCGGCCGAAGGUGGGUUCGAUAAUUGGGGUGAAGUCGUAACAAGGUAGC
rnacentral:rRNA from 1 species